rnacentral:lncRNA from 7 species
GGAAACCACAGCCACGGGAGGUGCACGUGGAGGAGGAUGGAAGGGCAGUGCUGGGAACGGCUGUGGGGUUCCGGGGACCCUCUGCUUCCAGGAGUGGGAAUCACGCCCUGCACUCCUGGUGAAUGAGGUGAUGCUGAUCCACAGAGGCAGCUUCUCCCAGUUCCCGGGAAGUCUGGGAAGCGCAGGCUACGGAUAUUUGGGGGGUAUUUCUGCUCAGACCAUCAUUUAUAAAACAAAAAGAGGCUUCAUUUGAUCAGCGUUGGGCGCAUGGGGCGCUGCCAGCCUGCUGCCUGACUCCCAGCACCCCCAGCACCAGCUCUCCAUCCUGCUCCAUCCGCUCAGACCAUCAGCACGCUCACUGACAGCAGCCCUUGCCCUGGCUUUAGGGUGUGUUUGGGAAGGGCAGAGGGAGCUCUGGGAGCAAACAGGUCAGGACAGCGUUGCUGGUUGGCACGUGGUGCCAGAUGCUGGAGGAAGGAGCUGGCUCACCUGGCCACGCGGAGAAGUCCUACAGCAGACAUGGGUCCCAUAGAAUGGCCGUGCAGUGACCCGCUCAGAGGAACCUGCUGCCGUCCUGAGCUCAGCCCAGCAGUGCAGGCGCAGAGCUGUGCUCCAGGGACAUCCUUCAGCACUGCUCCACAGAAGGACUUUGCUCCCUUCGGCCCCCCGGGAGCAAAAACCCAACUGACUGCAGUCACACAGACACCCAGGGCUGCACCCAGGCUCACAGCAGGGCUUUGUGCUGGAGGGCACCCCCAGCAGGGCAUCCCUAAGGGCUGGGACAUGGGGAGCACAGCCAGGAGGACGCAGCCCUCCAUUCCCCCUGGAGCAUCCACCUGAGCCCCAGCACAGCAAAGCCUGGGCAGGAACAACGGGCAGGAUCAGGCUGGUAUGAUGAAUGUGUUGGAGGAUGCCAUGCGGUUUCGCAGACAGAAAGAAAGGCUAAAUUCAUCUACUAAAUUAUUCACUGUGAAUUUUUGCUCUGUUCUAGCAGACACACAUCCAGCAGCUAUAUAAUAGGGAAAUUCAGUAUAUAUCAUAGUAGUUAGACACGUAUCCAUUACGCACAGCAGUUGUUAAUCUUCAGUGAACGUAUUUAAUAAUAGCUAUUUAUGUAACAUACAUUAACUACCCCUUUUAAACUGAAAUUGAAUGCAUAUUUGAGAACCUUAAUUCAAAGCACUACUUAAAGCUGAGUCUCUGAGUCAGGGUAAUAAGGAUUUCGAAAGCGGGGUGUUUAAGUACUUUGG